UAUCUCUGUAGAGUCUGCAUAUCAAUAAGCGGAGGAAAAGAAACUAACUAAGGAUUCCCUUAGUAACGGCGAGUGAAGCGGGAAGAGCUCAAAUUUGAAAUCUUCAAGGUUUUACCUUGACGAAUUGUAGUUUAAAGAAGUGUUUUCUGUUAGGAUUUGAGUAGCAAAAGUUCCUUGGAAUAGGGACAUCAUAGAGGGUGAGAAUCCCGUAUUUGGAUCAUUACUUCCUAGCUUUGUGAUACACUUUCAAAGAGUCGGAUUGUUUGGGAAUGCAGUCCAAAAUGGGUGGUAAAUUUCAUCUAAAGCUAAAUAUUGGCGAGAGACCGAUAGCGAACAAGUACCGUGAGGGAAAGAUGAAAAGAACUUUGAAAAGAGAGUUAAACAGUACGUGAAAUUGUCAAAAGGGAAGCGUUUGACACCAGUGUUGUUUUUCCGAAAAUCAAUUACGAAUGGCUUGAUUUUGUGUUGUAUUGACCUUAUCAGCUUUCUUCACUUUUUUCGAGUCUUUCUUAAUGCACUUUUCGGUUAACAAGUCAACAUCAAUUUCUUUUGUUGUAAAAGAGUAUUCGGAAGGUGGCUUUCUUUUCGGAGAAAGUGUUUAUAGCCCCUAUACUUCUACAAUCGGAGAGAUUGAGGUCUGCAGCGUAGAUCCUUCGGGGUUAGAUACACUUGUGCUAAGUUGUAGCUUUUCAUAGACAACUUGUUGACUAUGUUUAGUCAUGCGGCUUACUCGCUUAUGCUAUUUUACCUACGCUUAGGAUGUUGACGAGACUGUCGAUCUC
rnacentral:rRNA from 1 species